rnacentral:rRNA from 1 species
GACGAACGCUGGCGGCGUGCCUAAUACAUGCAAGUAGGACGCACAGUCUAUACCGUAGCUUGCUACACCAUAGACUGUGAGUUGCGAACGGGUGAGUAACGCGUAGGUAACCUGCCUAUUAGAGGGGGAUAACUAUUGGAAACGAUAGCUAAUACCGCAUAACAGUAUGUAACACAUGUUAGAUGCUUGAAAGAUGCAAUUGCAUCGCUAGUAGAUGGACCUGCGUUGUAUUAGCUAGUAGGUAGGGUAAUGGCCUACCUAGGCGACGAUACAUAGCCGACCUGAGAGGGUGAUCGGCCACACUGGGACUGAGACACGGCCCAGACUCCUACGGGAGGCAGCAGUAGGGAAUCUUCGGCAAUGGGGGGAACCCUGACCGAGCAACGCCGCGUGAGUGAAGAAGGUUUUCGGAUCGUAAAGCUCUGUUGUUAAGGAAGAACGAGUGUGAGAAUGGAAAGUUCAUACUGUGACGGUACUUAACCAGAAAGGGACGGCUAACUACGUGCCAGCAGCCGCGGUAAUACGUAGGUCCCGAGCGUUGUCCGGAUUUAUUGGGCGUAAAGCGAGCGCAGGCGGUUAGAAAAGUCUGAAGUGAAAGGCAGUGGCUCAACCAUUGUAGGCUUUGGAAACUGUUUAACUUGAGUGCAGAAGGGGAGAGUGGAAUUCCAUGUGUAGCGGUGAAAUGCGUAGAUAUAUGGGGGAACACCGGUGGCGAAAGCGGCUCUCUGGUCUGUAACUGACGCUGAGGCUCGAAAGCGUGGGGAGCGAACAGG